CACCACAACAUGUAGAAUAAGUCUAGGGGUUUAACACCACAACAUGUAGAAUAAGUCUAGGGGUUUAACACCACAACAUGUAGAAUAAGUCUAGGGGUUUAACACCACAACAUGUAGAAUAAGUCUAGGGGUUUAACACCACAACAUGUAGAAUAAGUCUAGGGGUUUAACACCACAACAUGUAGAAUAAGUCUAGGGGUUUAACACCACAACAUGUAGAAUAAGUCUAGGGGUUUAACACCACAACAUGUAGAAUAAGUCUAGGGGUUUAACACCACAACAUGUAGAAUAAGUCUAGGGGUUUAACACCACAACAUGUAGAAUAAGUCUAGGGGUUUAACACCACAACAUGUAGAAUAAGUCUAGGGGUUUAACACCACAACAUGUAGAAUAAGUCUAGGGGUUUAACACCACAACAUGUAGAAUAAGUCUAGGGGUUUAACACCACAACAUGUAGAAUAAGUCUAGGGGUUUAACACCACAACAUGUAGAAUAAGUCUAGGGGUUUAACACCACAACAUGUAGAAUAAGUCUAGGGGUUUAACACAACAACAUGUAGAAUAAGUCUAGGGGUUUAACACCACAACAUGUAGAAUAAGUCUAGGGGUUUAACACCACAACAUGCGGAAUAAGUCUAGGGGUUUAACACCACAACAUGUAGAAUAAGUCUAGGGGUUUAACACAACAACAUGUAGAAUAAGUCUAGGGGUUUAACACAACAACAUGCGGAAUAAGUCUAGGGGUUUAACACCACAACAUGUAGAAUAAGUCUAGGGGUUUAACACAACAACAUGUAGAAUAAGUCUAGGGGUUUAACACCACAACAACAUGUAGAAUAAGUCUAGGGGUUUAACACCACAACAUGUAGAAUAAGUCUAGGGGUUUAACACCACAACAUGUAGAAUAAGUCUAGGGGUCUGAAUACACUGUUUCAGUGGAACAUGUUGGUGUCGUUGACAUCCUGUUGUAUUAACAUUACAUU